CAGGUGAUCACACAUCCUACUUCCCAAGAAACCACACAAAAGGAAGGCACAGAGCAUUCAACAGAGUAAAAUGGCUCAUGUGCUUCAUAAAUAAGCAAAACAUGAUACGCAAAUUAAAUUUCCACAACCAGCACUAAUUAUCACAACAACAUAAUACAGCAUAUCCACGAUCUCCUGUUACUCCAACCUAUAAUGCCUCGCCACUGCUAACCAUAUAUCAUUUAUCAAGACACCGCGGCAUUCCGCAACACUCAUGUUUUAUGAAUAAUGCUGGGUGUCUGCCCCUUGAUUUCCUGAAUCAUAUUCUAUCCUCCGCUUUAUGAGAUGACGAACUCCAUCAGUGCAAUACAGUGAUUCCUCAUCAUUUAUCCUCAGACCCCAUAUUGAAUUUCCAUUAUCCAUAUAUUGACCCAAUUGCUUGUUUUCAACUGGUCAAACCUUAGUAUUAUAGAUACAAGAGUUACAUUAUCUGGUUUGGGUACCUACCUGGCUGACAUCAGUUUUUGGUAAAUCUGAACAGAGUGGGGAAUCAGAGACAAGUGGACAUGGGCUUUGUUGAGGAUUGAGGGCAACAGAGCUACAACGUUUAGCAACCCAAGGUUGAGGUUGUUUCUCAGAGGGAAGUUUACCAUUCACUGUCACACAGCUCAGCUGUGCGGUUCAUAAACAUAAUUCAGAUUAGGCUUACUGUCCUACCCGAGGACUUCGCACCUUUG